GUAUCGAAGCUAACGCGUUAAGUGAUCCACCUGGGGGAGUACGAUCGCAAGAUUAAAACUCAAAGGAAUUGACGGGGGUCCGCACAAGCGGUGGAACAUGUGGUUUAAUUCGACACUACGCGAGAAACCUUACCUAGACUUGACAUGUAAUUGCUACCUGUAGAAAUACAGGGUUUUAAGUUUACUUAAACGGUUACACAGGUGCUGCAUGGCUGUCGUCAGCUCGUGUCGUGAGAUGUUGGGUUAAGUCCUUUAACGAGCGCAACCCUUGUCGUCAGUUGCAACCCUUUUAGGGGCACUCUGGCGAGACUGCCUAGGAAACUAGGAGGAAGGUGGGGAUGACGUCAAGUCCUCAUGGCCCUUAUGUCUAGGGCGACACACGUGUUACAAUGGCCAGGAACAACGGGAUGCAAGCUUGCGAAAGUUAGCUAAACCCUUAAAACUGGUCUAAGUUCGGAUUGGAGUCUGCAAUUCGAUUCCAUGAAGUUGAAAUCGCUAGUAAUCGCGUAUCAGAACGACGCGGUGAAUACGUUCUCGGAUCUUGUACACACCGCCCGUCACACCACGAAAGUCGUUUGCACCCAAAAUCGCCUUAACUAACUCGUAAGAGAGGUGGGCGCUUAAGGUGUGGAUGGUGAUUGGGGUGAAGUCGUAACAAGGUAGCCG
rnacentral:rRNA from 1 species